GACGAACGCUGGCGGCGCGCUUAACACAUGCAAGUCGAGCGAAGCGGCGGACGGGUGAGUAACACGUUAGUAACCUGCCUUAGACAUUGGGAUAGCCUCGGGAAACCGGGAGUAAUACCAAAUGGUCUAAGAUGGACUCGAGUCCCAUUAGCUAGUUGGUAGGUAACGGCCCACCAAGGCGACGAGGGGUAGACGGCCUGAGAGGGUGAGCGGCCACAUUGGAACUGAGAAACGGUCCAAAAUCUGCGAGAGGGAGCAGUGGGGGAUAGUGCACAAUGGAGGGAACGAUGAUGCAGCGACGCCGGGUGAACGAAGAAGGCUUUCGAGUCGUAAAGUACGUUUAUAUGGGAAGCGGUACCAUAAGAAAAAGCCCCGGCUAACUACGUGCCAGCAGCCGCGGUAAUAC
rnacentral:rRNA from 1 species